GAUGAAGAACGCAGCGAAAUGCGAUAAGUAAUGUGAAUUGCAGAAUUCAGUGAAUCAUCGAAUCUUUGAACGCACCUUGCGCCCUUUGGCCAUUCCGAAGGGCAUGCCUGUUUGAGUAUCAUGAACACCUCAACUCUCAUGGCUCGCCAUGAUGAGCUUGGACUUUGGGGGUCUUGCUGGCCUGUGGUCGGCUCCUCUCAAAUGGAUCAGCUUGCCAGUGUUUGGUGGCAUCACAGGUGUGAUAACUAUCUGCGCUUGUGGUUUUCCAUCAGAUAACCUUCAGUGAUGGAGGUUCGCUGGAGCUCAGAAACGUCUCCCCUAAGCGGGGACAGCCCUUUGAAUGUUUGAUCUCAAAUCAGGUAGGACUACCCGCUGAACUUAAGCAUAUCAAUAAGCGGAGGA
rnacentral:misc_RNA from 1 species